rnacentral:misc_RNA from 1 species
AGGAGCCGUAUGCGGUAAUUCUGCACGUACGGAUCUGUGCGGGGGGGGCGGGUGACCGCCAUUCCUACCGCGAC